rnacentral:misc_RNA from 1 species
GAUGAAGAACGUAGCGAAAUGCGAUAAUUAAUGUGAAUUGCAGAAUUUAGUGAAUCAUCGUAUCUUUGAACGCACAUUGCGCCCCUUGGUAUUCCGGGGGGCAUGCCUGUUCGAGCGUCAUUUCAACCCUCAAGCUCUGCUUGGUCUUGGGCCGCGCCGGCGACGGCGGGCCUCAAAAACAGUGGCGGCGCCAUCUGGUUCCUCAGCGUAGUAAUUCUUCUCGCUGUUGGGCCCGGGUGGCCGCUGGCCAGCAACCCCAAAUUUUCUAUGGUUGACCUCGGAUCAGGUAGGGAUACCCGCUGAACUUAAGCAUAUCAAUAAGCGGAGGA